CAGCAGGGACUCUUCCCCAUGGGGUCUAGUGUGCGGUGGCUGCAAAGAGCAGCCUCCACGAUGGUGCACACAGCCUGCUGCUUGUACGGGUUCUCCUAAGGGACCGUGGGAGAGUU
rnacentral:snoRNA from 1 species